CAGAAGCCAAAGGGUUGGAAAAGCCUAUUAACAAGCUCCCUGCCUGCCUGUUUGGAGACGUUGUCGAAUUGAGAGUCUCGGCACCUGAGGCGGGCCAAUGAGAUUCCUAACAUCCAAUCCUGGAAGAUGCCUGGAAACCUGUGCCCUUUGUCAGCCUCGUGAAUUCAUAAUAGCAUAACUGUGAAGGAAAUCCAUCUCUCUGAUGUUGCCAAACCAUUCAGGCCUCCAUCAAUGAGAUUGCAGAGGCCUUCAAGGUUCACAAUAUUCACCAAGACAUCUAUGGAAAUACGCUAUUGCUUUCCUACGAUGCAAAUACAGAUCACACAAGAAGGAAAAGUUCCAUGUAUUUCUCACCACUAAAUGAAGCCGUUAAUAUAUGUCUUAACUCCAUGAACUAUGCAGCUUCCAAAACAACCAAGAAAAGGAGCCAACAAGUAGGAUUCGUUAUGUAAGUUCAUGAACUUUCUCCACUGGAAGGGGUUUUGGAAUUAAUUCAGCAAAGCCCCUUGUUUUAGAAUUAAGGUAAGUGAAGAUCAGAAAAUUUAAGUGACUCAAGAUUGCACAGCUCGUUAGAGGCAGAGCCAGGACAAAAGCUCAGGACUCCUGACUUCAGUCUAACCCACUAUACCAAUAAUUAGUUGCUAAGACAAUUUUGUAUUCCUAAGAUGUCUUUAGGUAUUAAAAGUCAACUACAAGAAGUGUAUAUUUCCCUAGACCAUGCAUUCUCAACAAGGGCUAUAUCACCCCCAGAGGCAUGAACAUGGGUUCUUGCGGAUCAAAAAAAUCUUAUAUGAGGGACCAGCCCAGUGGUGCAGUGAUUAAGUUUGCAUGCUCCUCUUCGGCGGCCUGGGGUUCACGGGUUCAGAUCCCGGGCACGGACUGACACACCACUCAUCAAGCUAUGCUGUGGUGGUGACCCAUAUACAAAAUAAAGGAAGAUUGGCACAGAUGUUAGUUCAGCAACAAUCUUCCUCAAGCAAAAAUAGGAAGACUGGCAACAGAUGUUAGCUCAGGAUCAAUCUGCCUCACCAAAAAACAAAAAAAGCCCCUUAAAUGUUAGAUAUUACAAUUGUCACAAUUGUUUGUAGUCUUCCUAAGGGCCACAGUAUCUAAUCAGAUAUGCAACUUGUCUAUGGCAUCCAAGUUUCAGGGUGAGGGAGCUGUGAGGUGGGAGAAGGAAGGGUUAGGAAAAGAACGUCUAGAAAAGUUCUUUCGGGGCAACAACUGUUAAAAAGUUGAGAAAGACUGCCCUGGACCAAAGUCCACGGUCAGGAUCUUAGGGAACUUGCCAAAACGUUGGCUGAGUACAAGUGCUGGAGGCUCAAUUCGUUUUUAGAGUUAAACCAGUAAGCUGGGAUCCAGAAGCAUGCUUUGCUGUUCUCAUCCAGUUUUGGUGACCUAUUAUGAAGCAUAAAAAUCUGCUUUUUAUAGUGCCAAACUCAGCUCUUCGUCAUCGUAUAACUAGAGGAUAAAUAAGAUGGAAGUUACACUGCGUGCUCAAUAUUAUUAGCAAGCAUGGCUUGAUGGUAUGCAGGUCCGCACCUGGGAUCCAAACCUGUGAACCCUGGACCGCAGAAGCAGAGCUCGUGAACCUAACCACUAUGUCUCCAGGCUGACCCCAGGGUGUUCAGUAUUUUAUCUGGAAAGCCUACCUCCAACAGACAAGUGUUAAGUGGAACCCCCACGUCAAGACUGAAUUCUCAACAUGGCCUGACUGCUGUGAGUUCUCAUCCAGCAGUUUGGUUGAAAUGAUACAUGGAAUGUGAGUCAAAAUAAUGGAACUUCUAGGUACAAUUUUUGUUGUAUAUAUUUUACAUUGCAUACAAUAUAUUAGUGUAGUAGCAUAUCUACAUAUGUAGUUUAUAUAUAAUUUACAAAUAAACACUUAUUGGAACUGAACUGUCAAACAUUUAUUCCUGAUAGGGGAGAGGAAUCAAAAAGAGUUAUCAAUAGAUGAGCAGCAUUGCGACAAAGAGCUUCUAUUCCUUUUCCCUUUAACAACAAAGAAAAGAUAUUCAAAUCAGGAAAAUCCUUAUAUGCUUGGUAAAAAUGUCACUAAGCUAUUUAGUUUGGGGAAUUUGUGAAAUUAACCAGAUGUGCUGAAAUAUACUUUCUUGUUGCAAAAUAGCUGGUAAUCCACUAGGAUAAAUCGCUGUGAGGUAAUCACAUUCGAACAAUUCAUUUGGUGCAUUCUUCUUCUUACUUAGGGAAAAAAAGAAAUUUGCUUGGACUUGAUCCUUGCACUUCACAGGAUCAGUCAUACUUUGUUGAUUUGUUCCAACAAUUGCCCGCCCAUUAAAUUUGAAAAGAUAAAAAGUGGAAAAAAUAUAAGAAGCCACAAAACACCCCUUCUCUGUGGAGUGACAGCAUUGUAAUACCACAGAAUCUAGAGACAGAUGGUGGCUUAUAGCAGACAUCAAUCUUCAAUGAGAGUAAAUUUCGGAUAAUGCCCCUCUUUGGUAAUGGACAUGUCUUUGCAAAGUUAUUGCUGACAGCAUCCUCUAACGUGCUGAUUUGCUAAGACAAGGUUUUUAUUGCAUCUAAUCUUGUCGUGAGGCAUGAAAAGAGUGGCUGGGUACAUGUUUUUCAUGUAUAGUUUUUACAAGAAUUGCCUGCAUUAGAGAGUGGCUAAAUUGUUUUCCAUAUUUUAUGGCACAUUUCAAAUGUUCCGCCACACACAACAUUGAUCACUCAGUCCAUUAGCUUAUUAUGAUAUCCUGAAAGGAGACACUUCCCUUGGGAAAAGCCAUAAUUUGAAAUGAGAUGAAGGCUCUGACUCCCUAGGACAGAGUGGGGUGGGAUCUACUGAGCAACUGCUUAAUUUCCUCAAGGGAAAUAGCCAGUUAAAUAUAUAUAGAAAUGUAAAUACACACAUAUAUUUUUCAAAAUGUCUGACCUAUUCAAAUCUACUUUGUCUUCUGAGGGACUUGGACACUUUCCAGCAGCUCAAACUGGCUUCAGUAAGGAUGGGGCAGCUUUUACAAUACAAAACUUUUUCAUAAUUAUGGGAAAUACUCAUGGCAUUAUCAGGGUUCUAAUAGAAAAAAUAGAGGGACUUUAAUAUAGGGGUUUGUUAACACAGGUUGUAGAAGAGCUGAAAAAACGCACAAGACCAUGGAGCAUCCCAGAGAUCAGCAACAACAGAAAGUGCCACCACCACCAGGUGGUUCUGACGGAUCCAGGGCCAUUCACUGGGGCUAGACCCAUUCUGGGGUUGUCUUUGGGAGCUGGGCCCAUGAAAGGAAGAGUUUUCCAAUGGACCUGGAAUCACCGUGGAGGUAUAGCCCCUGAAGGAGACACCAUGGAACAGAAAGCGAGAACAUACCGGGUUCCCCCUUCUUUCUACCCUCUGGUUUCCAACAGUUGCCCCCUUUGGCAAGGAAGCCUUGUAAAUGCAGUUCCCAGAAAUGCAGAACAAAGUAGAAGGGCAGGGAACAAAGCUAGGAGCCAACAGAUAAAUAAAUAACUUGGACAAAAUUAAAGCAGCUUCAUUUCUUUAGCACUUCGUUUAGUAUGUUACUGAGCACUGUAAACUCUAUCCUACACAUAAAGACACAAUUUUUCCCAAGCUAAGUAAACUUUGAAAUCUUUGUCCAUAGGAGUAAGGAUCGAAGUGGCCAUUGGGGACAUCAAAGCAAAGCGUUUCUCAGAACAUUUCAAAAAUUGCUGUGAGAUGGCUACUCAGGCUCCUAAUGGCAUUUGUGUUUCAGGAAAUGUAACUGAAUGGGAAAAUGGUGGAUGCCCCAUUGCAUUCUGCACUUCGUCUGUGUCAGAAUCUUAUGCUAGGUGCUUCCGCGUGUUUCACUUCAUCUUCAGAGUGGCCUAAAAGAGGAAUUCAUAUCUCUUGUGGGGAUAUAAGCUUUGAUAUCUUUAUCUACCUCUGAAAACCCCAAAUGAUGUCCUCCCUGUAGGACGUCCUUUGCAUCUGCUGUUGAGAUAUAAAAUCCUAGGGGAAGGGACUGAUGAAGAUCUGUUCAAUGGAAAGGAGCAAGCAGUGGCCACUUUAAGACCCCUGGGUCCUAGGUAAGUCAUGGCACCACAGAAGAGUCCAUCAUGUUUGCUUGGAUUACAUUUGAGGCCUGGGGCAGGGUCUUUUGUCUUCUCUUGUUAUAAGCAAGCAACUAGUGACAUGAGCCCAGCACUGGAGAAACUAGGGCCUAACAGAGUUCACAAACAUCGAAUCUAAUACCAGCCACUUCUACCAUGAAGAACUCCAGGACAACGAGCUUAUCCUGUCUUGGGGCCCAGGAUGGAGAAUGGGAGAGUUUUUAUAAUUUUCAUUCAUCUACUUCUCAGUCCACUACAACUAACAAAUGGGUUGUUUUUAUAAGUAAAACUUCGUGAACAGAUGAGGAUGAUUCUAGCUCUUAUCUUAAUUCCUCUAGCUAACCUAGAAAUUCAUUGUAUACUCUCCUUUUAAUUUACUUAUGUGUACAAACUUUGCUAAUUCCAAGAAUUCCAUGUUUGUCUACUAUUCAUUGCAGAGGGAGACAUUGAUAUUUACCUAAACUGUUGUGUCCAAGAGUUAUUCCUAAUCAUAGUCCUUGUCUCUACUUACUUACCACCUUUUGUGACUUUUUAAUAGAUUGCUAUCUUAUCUCUUAGCAUAGAUGCUACCUACAGAUUUAAUAGAUUUAUCUAAUAGGUUUAAUACAUUUAACCUUUUAAUCUACAGAACUGUAAGUUUUAUUCUUUGAUCAGCAGUCUCAUUUUCCCCAAUGUGACCAAUAAAGUCACUCUAAAGAGGUCACACAGGCUUAUUUGCCACAUUUCAUCUGCAGUCCUGCCCUGUUCCAUCCUGACUCGAAUUUCUUGAGACAAGUAGCCGUGGUCCAGAAAUUGGGCUUCUUUUAUAUAAUUGGUAAACAGUGGCAUUUUUCUGGACAGACUUCCUGGCUCUGACUGCUCGCCAAGUCACUGUCCCCUUCUGAAUGCAGAGCCUAAUACUACUGGUUCUUUGAGCAGCUGUCACCAUGCUUUGUCCUUGGGCCACUGUCCCCCUGCUCAUGUUUGGGCUGAAUUGACAUUUGAGAUGUGGCCUGGCUGGAGGAAUUGGUUAAUAGAUAAAUACUCUUCCGGAGAGUAAAGAACUGACUUAAUCCAGGCCUCUCGUGGAAUGUUCGAAUGUGAAACACAGGAAAGGAAGGGUUGAUAAUAGAGUGGCAUAGAAAAUGAGAGGCAGAUAGAAAGUAGUAAGCGCAAAACAGGAGCAAAUAGAAGCAACAAGGGAGUGAAUAUUAUGAGAUGGAGAGCAAAAUUCUCAGCAACAAAUUCAGGGUCCAAAAGCAAAGAGGCGGAGACCAGGGCAGCCAGCCCAGGAGAAGGUCUAUUUGACUCUUGCUGGGAAUCAGAAACCGGAGUAUCUGGACUCACGUUCCACGGAUCCCCAAAACCCAUUAUGCACCAGCUGAGACCUUUUUCGGUGGCUCCUUACUUCAGGGUGUAUCCCAAAAUUAAGCCCAUGACACCACAGUAACAAAGCUCCUGUCAUGGGCGCUGCUUCUGGUCUGAGAGAGGCCACACAGCCAUUGUUAUCCUAGAUUAAGGAUACCCAUACACGCUGCUCACAUUUUCCACAAUUUAAUGCAAACUUUUUGGGCUUUUGACCCCAAAAUUCUUAUAGGUAAAAAUAUGAAUUUGCAUACUGAAAGUGAAAUCCUUUGGAGCUGAGAGGCCUAGCUGUAAAAAUGCUGAACACGCUAAUCAUAUGGAAAUGUAUUCCUAAGGUCCUAAAAACGUAGCUCUUCUUUUAUUGUAUAACGUGUUGUUCUUCUGUGAAACUUGUACAUUUCUGUUGUAUUUGGAAAACUUUUGUUAGGACAAUGGAAUGAAUGUUGGUAACUACUUUAGGCUCUGUAAGACAGGAAAAAGUUUUCCUCAGGGUCCCAUGCUGGAUCUGAAAAGUAAACUAACAAAGACAGAUGUACAGGAGAAAGCCUACAAAUUUAUUUGCUAUAAGUUUUACUUGACACAGGAGCCUUUAUAAGGAAGUUGAAACGCCAAAGAAACAGACCUGUGUAUCUUUAUGCUAGGUUUGGCGAAGAGUGGACAGUCCUGGAGGAACAUGAUGGGCUAAGGAGCAGGAGGUAAUUGUAAUAAAUGGAGGGAAACUUAGCACGGCCUGUUUGUUAGGAUUCUUCUUCGUAUUCCUUUGUCUCUGGAGAUGAGAUGAGAACGGUCCUUUCCUCUGGGUGUAGGUUGGCCACCUUUCAUGAGGAGUUUGUGACCUGCUUCAGGGAAAAAGGGUGAGGCGGGUGCAGAGGAGGUCAGAGUGACCUUCCUGCUUCUAAUAUCUUCUCAAACUCCUUUGGCUUAAAAUAUUCAAUAUCCCAAGAUGCCAUAUUUUAGGGUAACAUGUCCUGAACCCCAUCAGCUCCCAUAGCAUCCAGUACUUAUCUUUGCCAAUAUGUAUUUUCAAUUAUUUUGUUAGUGCUCAUUAUUGCUGCAAACUCUCUGAAGAUAAGGAACCAAGCCUUCUUGUUCACCAGAGCACAUAGUAGGCAUUCCAUAACUACAAUGCAGUCUAUACAGAAGGCGAAAUAUAAUGAUGUACACCUGAAAUGUACAUAAUAUUAUAAACCAAUGUGACCUCAGUGAAACUUUUUUAAAAAGAGAAAAAAGUAAAGAAUAAAUGCCAUUUUGUUACCUUUAUUUGCAGGUCCUGGUUCAUUAUGUCUUUAGGGUUCUAAUUUAGGGAAACUAAGGACAAACGAGGCACAAAGAUGGGGGACUGCUUCAGGGUGUAAGUUUCCUGUUGGUAGAAAUGCUCUGGACCAUGAAGUCCUUGUCCCUUCAUCAAUUGGACGUAGCCUUUAGCCUCGCCUAAAGAUCCAAAGAGCUUUUCAAACGAAGUGAAGUUUGAGAGCAUUUCGAAGUGAAGUUUUUGCUUGUUUUAUAGUUCUCUGCUACUUGAGCUGCUUGCACUCACACCCAAUAAAUGCACUGUCUCCUCAUAGUUUGAAUUUUGGUAUUUGUACUUGCUCAGCUGACUGCUCCCUGCUGGUGCUAGUUUGCAGUGACGUCUCUGGCCCUAGCUCCUAGCCUACCUGUUCAUAUAGGAGCCUUGCAUAUUCUGGUGUUUUUAUAGCCAUAUUUUCCAAAAGUAGUCCAAAAAAUAAUAACUCUGAGGAAUGUGAAUAGUUGUUAUCAAGGAUCUGUGAUCAAAUGGUUGUCAAAAAGCUGGUCUGAAUGGGAGAUUUAGUAAGAUGAUUUUCCCAACGUGUUUGUCUAUACUUUUUUCUUGAAGCAUAUCAGUGGAACCGCAUAUCAGUGGAAGCUACUUGGAGAAAUACUACUUUAUGGCCUCCUUGGUAGAGUCCAGCCUUUUAUUUUCUAAUAGUAAAC
rnacentral:lncRNA from 1 species